ensembl:lncRNA
GUAAUUUUACGUUAGCUCCUUAGCCCACCGCGAAUGCUGCUAAGUAGGUUAUCAAAAGCAGGAGCAAAGCUUUAACUGCUGCUGAUUUAACUGCACUUUAGGACGAGAAAGUUUUCACAGAUGCAGCAAUUUUAGCUGGAAAUAAUAUCUCGUCGAUGAUACAGUUGUCUGAGGAUGUACUCAAACAGAUCUGAACACGGUUACAGGCGGCAGUACAGCGAGAGGAGUUCACGGCAACGGGAUGAAUAUGACGACAGAUGGGAGAAAAGGCGCGAACCUCCCAGAGACAUGCCACGGGAGUCGUAUCAUAAAUAUGGUGGGGAUGGACGCAGCAGUACAGAGAGAACAAGAAGUAGGGAGUACAGUGAGUCUCCGAAGAGGCUUUACAGCAAAGAUACACUGAACAGAGACUGGAGCAGGAAGAGCCCGGCGAGGAGACGCGCGUCUUCACCGGUGCGGGACCUCUCUGACAACAAAAAGCAGAGGUUUGCAGAUGACGACGAGCGGGAAUACAGGUACAGGCGUGAGGCUCAGGAGAAAACAUACAGGCCUUCACCGGACAGUUUUUCACGAUCGCAUCUAACCAGGAAUAUUGAAGAUGCGUCACCACAAAAUGAGGAUUUCAAGUACAGGAAAACACCUCAGGGCUCCAGGCACAGGCCUCGGCAUGAGGAGUUCCCAUACAGGCAGCUAAAUGAUGAGUUACCUUACAGACGACUGUCGGGGUCUUACAAAGAUGGAGAUGAAUAUGAGAGGGGCCGGGAUCCAUCACAAGAGAGGGCACGAUCACAGGAGAGGAGUUAUGUCAAUCCCAGAGAGAGGAUGGACAGUCCUCUCACUUCUGUAUAUGAUGAGGAUUAUCGCCAAGCUGGAGCAAGAUAUCCAUUGAAUGGCUCGAGCCGACAGACACUUGGACUGCAGAAUGAAUCAACGUGAGUGGAAAGAUGCUGUCCACAGACUCCAGAGACUUCUGGAGCCAAGCUGCCACAGCAUGGGGAAUGCCUCCAGAGGUCACAGAGACUGGGACACUUACCAUGAACACUCGAGAUAUACUGUUCCUGAACCACAAAGGAGUGAUGUGAGGUGGAAAGAGCUCAGUCCUUCAUCUCAUCAUGUUCAUAGUAAAGUCCCAGAGGUGGAGGACCCGGAUGGAGAGCCGCUGCCAUACAGUGAAGAGGAUGUAGAGCUAGCAAGAAAGCAGCAGCUCCUCAGAGAGAUGGAGGAGAGAAUUAUGCACAAGAAAGCUACCCUCGCCAUGAAAACGCAGUUUGUGGAGACACCACCAGGUGUUUCUGGUGACAAGCAGCCGGCUAUGUGUGUAGGUCAAACUCUAAGAGACAGAGUGAAGGAGAUUCUGAUGCAGCGACAAUAUCUCAGCUAUUUCUCAAAGGUGCAGUUAGCCAGAGAGAGAAGGAGCUCUUCCUGCCGGAGCAAAGGUGGUGUGCUGCAGGAACAGCAUCCUCUGAAGCUCAGAGUGAAGGCUCUAAUGAAGAAGAGACACACUGUUUUACCACCUUACAGCGAACAGGGCCCUGACAUCACGUGGCCUCCUUCCAGCCGAAGCGUUACAUCACCACCUAAGAGAGAGGACGUCAUCAACAAGGGUUUCGAGUGCUUCCUCAGCGUGCUCAACAAAGGAGUGGACAUCAACUUGCUCAAACCUGAGGAUGACUGUGGCGAGGUCCCUGGUGUGUCACUGCCACCUCUCGGCCGAAGCAUUUCUUCACCAGCAAAGGAUGAAAAUAAUGUCAACAAGGGUUUUGAGCGCUUCCUCAACAUCCUCAACAAAGGCGUUGACAUCGAAAAGUUUAGCAGGAUUAUGAGAAAUGAUAGAGAGGAUCUUCCUUUAGGUGAGGAGCCUCUGAACAUUCAGCUCCCUGAGGUGGGGAGCAAAUCAGAUCCACCUUUUAGGACUGAGAAGCAACAGCUGAACAGUGGAGCUUCACUGCUGGGCCUCAGACAGCCCAGUGAGAGUCUACUCAGCAUGGACAAUGACAUUGAGGCAAGCCUCACCCAGAGAAAGGAAAGCCAACGGUUGUUUAGUGGUGCCUCACUGGAACGUCUCAGCCCACUCAGUGAAAACCAGUGCUCAAACAGUCGAGCCAUUCUGUUACUCAGCCAGGCCAGUGAGAGCCAGCGGUCGAAGACUGGAGCCUCGCUGAAAGGCUUCAGCCAGCCCAGCAAGAGUAUUGGCAGCGGUGCCUCACAGCCAGUACUCAGCAAAGCCAGUGACAGUGAGCAGGCAGGCAGUGGAGCCCUGCUGACAGACCUCAACCAGGCUAGUGAAAGCCAACAGUUAAAUACCGGAGCCUCACUGCCAGGCUUCAGCCUACCUAGUGAGAACCAGCACUCAAAAACUAGACCCAUUCUUCUAAGCCACGGACGGGAAAGUGAGAGCCAGCGGUCGAAGAGUGGAUCCUCACUGAAGGAUCUCAGUCAGAAAAAUGAGAGUCUACUCAGUACAGUCAAUGAAGGUGAACCAGGCCUCAACCAGGCAAAGGAAAGCCAACGAUUAAAUACUGGAGCCUUGCUGAAGGGCCUCAGCCAGCCCAGUGAAGGUACUGGGAAUAGUGCUUCACAGCCUGGACUUAACAAAGCCAAAGACAGUGUGCAGUCAGACAGUGGAGUCCAGCUAAUGGGCUUCAGCCAAGCCAGUGAAAGCCAACAGUUAAAUACUGGAGCCACAUCACCCAGUGAGAACCAACUCUCAAACACUAAGCCCAUUAGGCUAAGCCUCAACUGGGCAAGCAAGAGCCAGCCUUUAAAGAGUGGUACCCUAAUUCCUGGGCUCGGUGAUGACAGUGACAGCAAGUCAAACGGUGGAGACCUGCUGGCAGGCCUCAACAAGACCAACAGUGGAGAGAAAAAGACUGAUUCAUCUACUCGAGAGAGGCUCUUCUUACCUGGUGAUGAGGAGAAGAAGAAGAAGGGCAAAAGAGACCACAGUUUGGGCUCUAGUAAUCGAUCAAAGUCGCCGGUGGCAGUGAAGAAGAAGAAGGAGGAGGAAGAGGAAAAAGAAGAAACCUCAUCGGUGAGUGAGCAGCAUGAACAGCUGCAGAGCAUUCUUAAAACUCUGGGAUGGAACCUGGACGUGAACGAGCUGAGCAAACUGGCAAACCGCACUCAGGAGAGGCUUUGUGGGAGGAAAAACGAACGUGCGAACAGCAGAGAGGAGCACGAGAGCCGCCAGAAGCACUCUCGUGACCGAGAUCGCAGGAAGUCGUCACGCUCUCCUCUGCGGAGCAGCAAAACAGACGAGAGUCAGGAGAGAAUGCAUGGGAGGAAGAGCGAAGGGAGGGUGAGGAAGAGUGAAGGGAGGAGGAGGACUGACAGCAGAGGGGAGGACGAGACACAGCAGACACGCUCCCUUAGAGAUCACAGAAAUUCCUCUUCCUCAUCUUCCUCCAGGUCAGCCUCUAGAAACUCUAGCCCAAGCCCCUCACGCCGUCGGCGCUCUCGCAGCAGAGAUUUGAAACGGCGGCGAAAGGCCGAACGAAGCCGCUCGCGAGAAAGAAGCAGAGAGAGACUGAAACACAGAGAUAGACGGAACAGCAGAGAAACACUGAGGGACAGAGAGCGAAAAGACUCGAAACAUUUUUCUCCUUAUCCUUAUUCACAAAAUCCCGUGUUUCCUCAUCCUGCUGCUUCUCCGUUUCCAGACUACACUUUGUCUCAGUACUCACAUUUCGCUGUUACCCAGAGUGGCCACUACAGCGGUGCUACAAAUCCUUACUGGUCAUAUAAUCAGUAUAACAUUCCUCCCUCUCUUUCUGCCAGCGGCCAUCCUUACCCACACUUUCCUGGCUCUGUAGUGGCACCUAACAUGGCUCUCCCUGAUCCCAGCCUUCUUACGAACAGUGCCUCAUUUCCAAACCCGGACCUGUCUGUGAGCGAAGGCCAAGAUGGGUCAGCCUCUGUUUCUCGCUGCCUGAGAGUCAUCAAUACCGAGCAGGCAUCCUCUCAGAGCCUCACAGGUAGACACAACUGGAGACGGGGUCACAAAGAACUUAUGGGAGAUUUCAGGAAUCCCAAAGGUAUUUUAGAGAAACACAAUAAUGCAUUAAAGUCACCACUGGCACCACAGGACUCAAAGGUAUGCACAAAGACUGUGGGUAAUGACCCCAGCACUGAGGAGAUAAAAGAGGAGAAGCCGCAGCUAACAGAGGAGGAAAUAAAGGCGAACCUGAGGAAAAAGCUUGAAGCGUUUAACCAGAAGGCGAAGAACACGAGCCAGCUGCCUCACUCCAAAGUCAUGCAGCCAGCAAACUCCCUGAUCUCUGAGAUAGACUGAAGCGUCUGUGUCCUGUGAAGAUUUUUACUUUGUAUUUUUUCAGCCUUGUUCACAUUUGUCCCUGACCUCUAAUGCCUGACUGUCAUCUGAAAAAGGUUUUUGCACAGUUCAUUAUUGGUCUGCUUUCGUGUUUUAGCUCUGCGCUUCUAUGAAUGUCAUGAGUUUUGCUUAAAGUUGAUUACGAGAACUAUUUUUUGUAGGCCGUACUGUAGUUUGUUAAUGAAAAAUGUAUAUUUUCAUUGUUAAAAAGGUUUCAGCCUGUACAGUUUCCGGUUUUACAUUCACUCUGUCACACUAAUAAAGAAAUCUUACAAAAAC